UACGGAGGGUGCAAGCGGUAGCCGGAAUUACUGGGUUUCAAGGGUGUGUAGGCGGCUUGAUAAGUCAGGGGUGAAAGCUUAUCGCUUAACGGUAGAAUUGCCUUUGAUACUGUAAAGCUUGAAAGGGGUUGAGUUCAGCAGAAUGUGGCAUGUAGCGGUGAAAUGCAUAGAUAUGCCAUAGAACACCGAUUGCGAAGGCAGCUGGCUGGGCCUACUUUGACGGUGAGGCACGAAAUCGUGGUGAGCGAACAGG
rnacentral:rRNA from 1 species